rnacentral:lncRNA from 1 species
CUGCUCUCUGGGAGCCCUGAGGACCGUGUAGCCUGUGCACUCACCGUACCCUUCAUCUGCCGGUGAGGGGGAUAGGUGCCUUGCGGGGAGUGGGAGCUCGAUUGCAACUCCCAGCCCUGCCCUGAGCCUGCUGAAAGACCCCUUUUCCCCACAGGAAGCCCACUCUGUGGCGCCGCUUACUUCUGGAUCAGGGUGGCCUCCGCCUCCUCCUCACAGCACUAACGCAGCCAGCUCCACACCCACUCUUCCUCUUCUUUGCAGCAGAUUCCCUGUCCUGUCUCCAAGGCCUGGUGUCUCCCUCUGCAAGCCCAGUCCCUUUACCUGACCUGCCCUUGGAACUGGACUCACCCUCCCCUUGCCUCUACAAACCUCUGCUGGGUCCAGCCCCUGCCCCAGCUCCUGACCUGCACUUCGUUCUGGACUCAGGCCUACAGCUCCCUGCUCAGCGGGCUGCUUCAGCUGCUGCCUCCCCUUUCUUCCGGGCCCUGCUAUCCGGCAGCUUUGCUGAAGCCCAGAUGAAUUUGGUGCCACUUCGAGGCCUGUCCCCUAGUGCAGCGUGGCCUGUCCUACACCAUUUGCAUGGCUGCCGGGGCUGUGGGGCUGCUCUGGGACCUAUACCCC